rnacentral:misc_RNA from 1 species
GAUGAAGAACGUAGCGAAAUGCGAUACUUGGUGUGAAUUGCAGAAUCCCGUGAACCAUCGAGUCUUUGAACGCAAGUUGCGCCCGAAGCCGUCAGGCCGAGGGCACGCCUGCCUGGGCGUCACACGCCGUUGCCCCCCCGCGCCCCGCACCCAACGCUUUGGGAGCGACCGCGGGGCGGGCUGAUGAUGGCCUCCCGUGCGCUCCGCCGCGCGGUUGGCCCAAAUACCGAGUCCCCGGCGACGUGCGCGACGACGAUCGGUGGUUGAGAGACCUCUGUCGCAAGUCGUGCGCGCCCGUCGCGUCACGCGGGCUCGCAUAGCGCCUCGCGCCGCACCCGGUGCGGAGCUUUCAACGCGACCCCAGGUCAGGCGGGGUUACCCGCUGAAUUUAAGCAUAUCAAUAAGCGGAGGA